rnacentral:rRNA from 1 species
UCGGACUGCAGUCUGCAACUCGACUGCACGAAGUCGGAAUUGCUAGUAAUCGCGGAUCAGCAUGCCGCGGUGAAUACGUUCCCGGGCCUUGUACACACCGCCCGUCACACCAUGAGAGUCGGGAACACCCGAAGUCCGUAGUCUAACCGCAAGGAGGACGCGGCCGAAGGUGGGCUUGAUAAUUGGGGUGAAGUCGUAACAAGGUAUC